rnacentral:rRNA from 1 species
AGUGAACGCUGGCGGUAGGCCUAACACAUGCAAGUCGAACGGCAGCACAGUAAGAGCUUGCUCUUACGGGUGGCGAGUGGCGGACGGGUGAGGAAUACAUCGGAAUCUACUUUUUCGUGGGGGAUAACGUAGGGAAACUUACGCUAAUACCGCAUACGACCUACGGGUGAAAGCAGGGGAUCUUCGGACCUUGCGCGAUUGAAUGAGCCGAUGUCGGAUUAGCUAGUUGGCGGGGUAAAGGCCCACCAAGGCGACGAUCCGUAGCUGGUCUGAGAGGAUGAUCAGCCACACUGGAACUGAGACACGGUCCAGACUCCUACGGGAGGCAGCAGUGGGGAAUAUUGGACAAUGGGCGCAAGCCUGAUCCAGCCAUGCCGCGUGGGUGAAGAAGGCCUUCGGGUUGUAAAGCCCUUUUGUUGGGAAAGAAAAGAAGCAGGUUAAUACCCCGCUGUUCUGACGGUACCCAAAGAAUAAGCACCGGCUAACUUCGUG